rnacentral:misc_RNA from 1 species
GAAAGACGGAAGAAUCAACUCCUUUUUCACUCAAAGAAAACUAUGGCAUUUCAUCAUCCAAAAAAAUAACAAAGCAGAAGUUAAAACACAGGAGUUGAUCUUCUCUCCGACUCAUCAAUGGUGAGUAAACUGUAAGAUACUAUAGUUUCUCCAACCACAACUCAUAAAUAUUACAAUGAAAAUGAGAAUUUUUCUUAUUAUCGCAUCAUUAACAAAAUAAUAUGCUUAGAGAAAUAACCAUGAGAUAUUUUUUUUUCACUAAGUUCAACUGAUAGAAGAUAGGCAAGGGGUCAGUGAUUUUGGAUUUAAAGAUGAUAUUCAUCCCUUCUGAAAUCAGCAUUUUCUUCCAGAAGCUUAUGAUUUUUUCCCUUGAGCUAAGCUUACACGCAUUGCUCGUCCUUCUAGUUCCUAUAAUACAAAAAGAAACAGCCAGUGAUUAUUUUCGUCCUGGAUAAAAUUAUAUCAGGCUAAGAAAGAUUGCAGCCAGGGAGAAUAGGAAGGUGGACUGUACCACUCCAUUAAGAGACUCAAGGGCAUUUUCCAUCUCUGAUCGGGUUGAGUAGCACACAAAACCAUAACCUCGCGACCUUCCGGUCUCCCCAUCGUAUAGAACUCUUGCUCCAACCACAUUUCCAUAUUCUUGAAAAGCUUGUGUCAAACUUUCUGAUGUUACUGACCAGGAUAAAUUCCCAAUAAAAAGCUUGUGUUCUGUUUCUGGAUAUAAAGGUUCCUUCGGUUUAGGUUUGUCAGAAAAGUUCACCCUCAAGAUGCGACCCAUGUAUUGACUUCCAUCAAGAUUUUCAAUCACUGCAUUACAAUCUUCAACGCUGCUCAUCGUUACAAAUGCAAAACCUCUACUUCUUCCAGUUUCUCUGUCGUAAAGAACCUAUAGUAUUCACAUUCUUUAGUACAGGAAUCGCUAAAAAGACAUUGGGAAAAGAUAGAAUAGCAUGUCAUAAUACAUGGGAUGACAGACAAUUGGAAAGCAAAAGAUUAAACUUCAAGUUUCAGAAUCUAUUUCAGAAUCUACAGAAAGCAUUGCAGAGACAUCUGAAACAGUAAGUUCCUAUGACUUUUUAAGCAAUCAAUAUCCUGAGAAAACGUGAAACUAAAGAUAGCCAGAAAAGAAGGGAAUCUAAUUUAAACCUUUAUUAGGAAGUUUUAUGGUUUUUAAGCAACAAAAUUGAGAUUACCAACCAAUUAAACAAUUGUUCACGUCCUUAUGCUGAAUUACUUUCAUCACAUUGAACAACCUCCUCACUCUUGAUUUUAUUGCAGGUCCACAUCUGAAGUAGCAGACAGUAGAAAGGCCCUCCCUGCCUGCAAUAUGUGCGUAAUAGUUGCAGGGGAUAUUUUCUCAUAAGCCAAGUUCUUUCACCAGAAAUCAGAACCUUAUUCCUUAUUGAAUUGCAAUUAGAAUUAUCAAAAGGGAAUGCAGCUCACCUCUGAUCCCCAAUUCCUAGCCUGGUCUGAUAAGGGAAAAAAAAUCUAAUAAGUUAAUUAACUUGUUCACUAAUAACAGUUUAUUGGAGUUGCAUACAGCUUUUCUUAUUAUUGUAUUAAUACUCAAUCUUGUUACAAAUAGCCAUCAGAAUCAAGCAAAUCAUUGACAACUAACAAGAUAUAAGUAGAUAAUAAAAUAAUAACACAGGUAUAGUUCAUGUUGCAAUGUAUAGUACCUCAACGAGCUCAGGAGUACCAUAAUCUUGAAUGAUUCCAGCAAGCUGUGCACUAUCAACAUUAUAAGGCAAAUUCCCAAAGUAAAGCUUAGCGUUAACAAGGGUCUGAUCAGCAUCUUUUUCACCUUCUCCUGCUACUUGCUCCUGUUCAUCCUGGUGCAAACCCUCUUCCACAGGAGCAGUAGCGGCAGCCUCCUCUUGAGCAACAGCUGCAGACACUCUAGGCACACGCCAGGAGACUGCAACUGAUGAAAGUGGUUCUAUAGCAUAAGAGCGAUGGAUUAUGGAGGCUGCAGUCGUGAUGC